CCUUAUCCUCCGCAACCACCACUCCCAUCCCACCGGCUCCGGCCGCCGCCCCCACUCCAGGCUCCGGCUGCUGCCCUCGCUCCUGUCUCCCCUCGCUUCGGCCGCUGCCCCGCUCCCAUCUCCCCUGGCUCCGGCCGUCUCCCCGCUCCCAUCUCCCCUGGCUCAGGCCGUCGCCUCUCUCCCGUCUCCCCCGGCUCAGGCCGUCGCCUCGCUCCCGUCUCCCCCGGCUCCGGCCGCCGCCCCGCUCCCGUCUCCCCCGGCUCCAGCCACCGCCCCACCCCCGUGUCUACUAGGUCCAGCUGGCACCUCGUCCCCAUCUCCUCCACGACCCCAUCGAUGUCCAGCUCGCCUCCCAUGCAAUGCCUGUAGGCCCUCGCGCAAAUCAUCCUUGCUCCUCCCGAGACCAAAGCACGCAGCCGCCGGCAACCUGGCCGCCGUGCGUCACUGCCGGCCGCGUUCCUCCGCGCCUCCCCAAUCCACCACACAUCGCCACUGCCGCUCCAGCGUCGCCCUCUGCCGCCUAAGCUCACAGUCCGUUCAAAUUCAGUCACCAGGCCGUUCAUCACCACCACCAAAGCCCGUUCAUUUAGCGUCGUUCAUGGAGCUGCCAAUGUGGUCGCUGGGGCUAGAACUGUAAGAUCUGCAGCUCAUCAGUCCAACUUCUUGCUCCGUCGCCGGUCACUCAAAAAAGAGCCGUGUGCAGGCCACCUCGUGCUCGGCCCCCUGAUCCGGCAUUUUUGGUUUCUCUAUUUUAUGUUACGAUGGUAGUGACAUUGGAGAAGAAAGGUGUGUCGAGGUACAAAUCUUGAGUUUUUGGAGGUUCAAUGCAUUGCUGCUAAAAGCAGCAUCCAGGACGACCUCGACCUACUGCCACUAGCAGUUGGUGCACCUCCUGUUAGUUGCUAGCUGUUACCUAGCGUGCUUGAUGCUACCGCUACAAAGAAGGGUACCCGGCGACAGCGGAUAGGCGGCAAGUGUACUGGUGAGCAGCUACCCAGAAAAUACUGGAACAAGGCUUCCAAAGUAAGCUCCUUGCUUCUUGCUUCUCUUUAAAUCUCUUGAGCUUUACAUGGUAUGUUCAAGACAAGUCCUCUAGUGGUUGUAUUGUAUGACGUUCGUUUAAAUGAUCGGCUAUACUGACACCGCAUACGUGGAAACUUAAAAGAAAAUAAAAGGUGUUAAUGGAGAAAUAUAAGAACAAAAACAGUUAUGUGUAGCCAUCUAGCAACAUGGUGAUCAGACAAAAUCCCGACAGCCACCCUCCAUGGUGAUCAAUUCCAUGUGCUGAUGGGUAUGCUUGCUUAGCACAAAAUUCAUAAACUGUCAAUUUAUUUUGAAUUGAACUGAUGCUGCUCUUGAUUCAGACCUGAGGGGAGAAGACGGAACUAGAAUGAUUCAGUUCAUCAUUGGCACCCCUGUAAACCAAACAGUGAAGAACACACCCACUGUACUUUUGCUCUUGUUCUUUCUAUCUCCUGAAUUCCAUGCUUUCUGUGAUGAGCAUGCUUGGUACUAUAUAGAUACUGCUGUAGUAGUUCUAAUACAAUAUAUUACAAGAAUUCAUUGACAAAAAAGGUGUCAGUUCAUAUAUGUAUGCAGCAGCUGUUUUGAUACUACUUCAGUAACCAGAAAAACACAAAAGCUCAACUAUACUUAUGCAAAAUAGUUCAAUAUUUUAUUCUAUGACAGUCAAGAAAAACAGAAAAAAGAGGUUCAUCGUGUGAUGAACAAUAGUCCCAACAACUGUGCUAGAGAUGCAAAAAAUUGAUAGCAUAGCCGAUGCUAGUUUUCAUCCAAUUUCUGAAGAAAACUGAAGUUGAAGAAUAAUCUGUUAGUUCUUGAGUAUGUGUAAUGCUGCCAUUUUACUGUGCAUUUGAUUCCAUCGUGAUGGAUGUAUUACAAAGAUAUGGCUGUAUUAUUAUGUUGAAUAAAAAUGCCAUUUUGCUGCAACAUUUUCUGUCUGCUCCUGUCAAGUUAUACAUGUAUGUGAGGAUCCUUCUAUGUAGUAAGUUCAUAGUCGAGAAGUCAGGGACUUCGUAAAGAACGUGAACACCAAAAAACCAUUAAAAAACCUAAACCAUAUGUUAGGGGAGUUCAAGAAGUUCAUGGCUAGCUGUCCGUGUUCUGUAUUCUUAUCAGUUCACAAUCGAGAAGACAUGUAUUCUUAUCAGUUUGUUUAUCUAGCCCGUCGUGCUGUGUAUUCUGGUCAGUUCGUGUGUGUAUGUGUUGCCCUCGCAGUGUAUGAGAGGCCGCCCAUGAGGAAGUCGUCGAUCUGGUCGAGGCAUGCUGCUAUUCUCUAUAUCCGGUAGCACAAACAUUUAAAAGUUCAAACACCAAACCCUGGUACUAUGUGGUGGCAUUGCUACAGUUCUCUUGUUACGUUCUCUUCGCCCAAAUUCGGAGGAUCAAGAAAAUAAAAUAUCAUCGUUUUGACAUGCACUACUCAAAAGAAGGCAUUUCUAUUGAAAAAUUGUUUCGCUUGACAUGUACUUGCCAACAAUUAUGUAUAAUAAAUCAUGGCAUUGUAUGUAGAAAAAGAUAUAUUGUGUGUUCUGCUGUUGUAUUGAGUUGCUAUCUAUUGCUAAUUGUAUGAUGUUGCUAUUGCUCUCCGUGUCAUGUUAUGCAAGUUGACACCGAGUACACAUUGGAUGAUAUACUUCCGGUUUUUA